AGGUCGUUUUGAGGGCAAUUUCUUAUCAACCCCUUGUAUCUCUCCCACGCCUCAUAGAGUGAUUCUCCCGGCAAUUGCUCAAAGUUAGCAAUUGCUUUCUGCAAUUU